rnacentral:rRNA from 1 species
AGCGUGGACGGCGUAUCAAGUCUGAUGUGAAAGGCAGGGGCUUAACCCCUGGACUGCAUUGGAAACUGGUAUGCUUGAGUGCCGGAGGGGUAAGCGGAAUUCCUAGUGUAGCGGUGAAAUGCGUAGAUAUUAGGAAGAACACCAGUGGCGAAGGCGGCUUACUGGACGGUAACUGACGUUGAGGCUCGAAAGCGUGGGGAGCAAACA